rnacentral:tRNA from 1 species
GGUACGUUGGUGUAAAUGGUAGCACACUUGUCCCGGAAAUACAGAGGUGUGGGUUCGACUCCCACGCGUACGG